rnacentral:rRNA from 1 species
UGGCAGCAGGUAGGAAUCUUUUGCAAUGCGCGCAAGCGUGACAAAGCGAGCCAGAGUGCUUCUCAUCGAGAAGCUUUUGCCAAAUCUAAAAAGUUUGGCGAAUAAGGACUGGGUAAGACGAGUGCCAGCCGCCGCGGUAAUCCUCGCGGUCCAAGUCGCAGCCAUUAUUAUUGGGUCUAAAACAUCCGUAGCUUGUUUAAUAAGUUCCUUGUGAAAUCUUGUCUCUUAAGGGCAAGGCGUGCAAGGGAUACUGUUAAGCUAGAGACUGGAAGACGUAAGAAGUAUGUUCAAAGUAGCGGUAAAAUGUGUUAAUCUUGAACAGACUCACAACAGCGAAGGCAUCUUACGAGGACAGUUCUGACAGUAAAGGAUGAAGGCUAGGGGCGCAAAUUGGAUUAGAUACCCCAGUAGUC